ACCCAAAUAGACCCGGAGAAGCCGUCGGGAGGUCUGGGAAGAGUUUUCUUUUCUGUUUGAGCGYUCGGGUUCCCUGGAAUUGCCUCGCGCAGAGAGAGGGAAUGGAGCGCGUAGAGCACCGCAGUUGCGGCGGUGUCCAGACACGCCCCUCGGACCUUGAAAAUCCGGGGACGGGCCACGUGGAGGUUCGCGCCGGUCCGUACCCAUAUCCGCAGCAGGUCUCCGAGGUGAAGAGCCUCUAGCCGAU
rnacentral:rRNA from 1 species